rnacentral:rRNA from 1 species
CGCGGCCUAUCAGCUUGUUGGUGGGGUGAUGGCCUACCAAGGCGACGACGGGUAGCCGGCCUGAGAGGGCGACCGGCCACACUGGGACUGAGACACGGCCCAGACUCCUACGGGAGGCAGCAGUGGGGAAUAUUGCACAAUGGGCGGAAGCCUGAUGCAGCGACGCCGCGUGAGGGAUGACGGCCUUCGGGUUGUAAACCUCUUUCAGCAGGGACGAAGCGAGAGUGACGGUACCUGCAGAAGAAGCACCGGCCAACUACGUGCCAGCAGCCGCGGUAAGACGUAGGGUGCGAGCGUUGUCCGGAUUUAUUGGGCGUAAAGAGCUCGUAGGCGGCUUGUCGCGUCGACCGUGAAAACUUGGGGCUCAACCCCAAGCCUGCGGUCGAUACGGGCAGGCUAGAGUUCGGUAGGGGAGACUGGAAUUCCUGGUGUAGCGGUGAAAUGCGCAGAUAUCAGGAGGAACACCGGUGGCGAAGGCGGGUCUCUGGGCAACAACUGACGCUGAGGAGCGAAAGCGUGGGGAGCGAACAGGAUUAGAUACCCUGGUAGUCCACGCCGUAAACGUUGGGCGCUAGGUGUGGGGCUCAUUCCACGAGUUCCGUGCCGCAGCUAACGCAUUAAGCGCCCCGCCUGGGGAGUACGG